UUGCCCAUUUAAGACUGCUGUGUUUUAAAUGGCUAACACAGGGGGGUAGAGCAUGUCUCACUUAAACCUGAAGCACAGGACGAACCCUUGCUUUGGAUCCUGUCGUGAGAAACAGCC